AAGUAGUCCCCUCUUUCUAAAAAACUAAUAUACUUUGGCGGCAUUUCAUCUUAUUAGAGGAGCCUGUUUUAUAAUCGACACCCCACGCUAAAUUCAACUUAAACUAAAAUCCUAUAUACCGCCGUACAGAACAAAAAAAAAUUUCUUCUUCAAAAUAAAUAUAAAAAGAUAGGUAAAGGUGUAGAAAAUGUUUAAGAAAAAAUGUGCUACAUUAAAUAUAAUUUAAGGAAAAAAAUGAACACUACAAUGAAAAAGGAUUUAUUAGUAAUAUAUAACCUAUAAACUAAAUAAUAAUUAUAUAUGAAAAAGACAAAAAUGUGU
rnacentral:rRNA from 1 species